UUGUAACUUUUAAUAAUAUUUAGAUAGAUGAUGUCCACAUUAAAACUAUGGUACAGAUAGCAAAUUUCAUAUUGAUAUUUAUUCAAAUUUUUAAUACCACGAUUAUAUUUGAGAAUAUAAACGAGCGAAAGUUUUUUGCACAAGUUGCAGAUAAGUUUGGUAUGCAAUUUUUUUAUGGUAUUCACUGUGUGAAUCAUAAAAUCGUAGAAUGACAGUUAAUAGCGAACGGUAAAUUUGGUUUUCCAGACUUUUGUUGAACUUCGCAUUUGUGAAAGUGGAUCUUAAAUAUGUAUAUACAUGAUGGAAUUUAAAAUUUAUUAAGAUAAAUGUUUUGUAUAAAUGAUAAUACAUGGGAAAUUAUUGAGUAGAAGAUAUUUUAAACAACGUAAAUAUACAUUAUUGAUGAAUGUUCAGAAAUAUUUGUAAACUUUGAAGCGACGCAUCUAAUUGCAUAUCUUUAGCUUUUCGUUCCUUGAUUAUCACGAGGCAGCAGUUAUUUGCAUACAUCGCAUAUCUUCGUUUCAGCGUUUCGAGAGAAACGAGGUUCGUGAAUAAUUAUUUUACUUUGGUAUUUAUGUACAUACCUGUUGAUAGGACAUUACUGCUGUCCGAAUUCCUGAAAAAAAAAA